GCUCAAACCUGUUCCAGCAUGACAAUGCCCCUGUGCACAAAGCGAGCUCCAUGAAGACAUGGUGUGUGAAG